rnacentral:rRNA from 1 species
UACGAAGGGGGCUAGCGUUGUUCGGAAUUACUGGGCGUAAAGCGCGCGCAGGCGGUUUUGCAAGUCGGGUGUGAAAUCCCCGGGCUCAACCUGGGAACUGCAUCCGAGACUGCAUUGCUAGAGUAUGGGAGAGGGAAGCGGAAUUUCUGGUGUAGCAGUGAAAUGCGUAGAUAUCAGAAGGAACAUCAGUGGCGAAGGCGGCUUCCUGGACCAAUACUGACGAUCAGGUGCGAAAGCGUGGGGAGCAAACAGG